rnacentral:rRNA from 1 species
AGUGAACGCUGGCGGUAGGCCUAACACAUGCAAGUCGAACGGCAGCACAGUAAGAGCUUGCUCUUACGGGUGGCGAGUGGCGGACGGGUGAGGAAUACAUCGGAAUCUACUUUUUCGUGGGGGAUAACGUAGGGAAACUUACGCUAAUACCGCAUACGACCUACGGGUGAAAGCAGGGGAUCUUCGGACCUUGCGCGAUUGAAUGAGCCGAUGUCGGACUAGCUAGUUGGCGGGGUAAAGGCCCACCAAGGCGACGAUCCGUAGCUGGUCUGAGAGGAUGAUCAGCCACACUGGAACUGAGACACGGUCCAGACUCCUACGGGAGGCAGCAGUGGGGAAUAUUGGACAAUGGGCGCAAGCCUGAUCCAGCCAUACCGCGUGGGUGAAGAAGGCCUUCGGGUUGUAAAGCCCUUUCGUUGGGAAAGAAAAGCAGCAGGUUAAUACCCCGCUGUUCUGACGGUACCCAAAGAAUAAGCACCGGCUAACUUCGUG